rnacentral:rRNA from 1 species
GCUUAGCCUUAAACCCAGAUAUUUUUUUACAAGAAAUAUCCGCCAGGGUACUACAAGCGCUAGCUUAAAACCCAAAGGACUUGACGGUGUCUUAGUCCCACCUAGAGGAGCCUGUUCUAGAACCGAUGAUCCACGUUCAACCUCACCACCUCUUGUUAUCCCAGCCUAUAUACCGCCGUCGCAAGCUUACCCUGUGAAGGAUAAACAGUAAGCACAAUGGAAUUUUCCCAGAACGUCAGGUCGAGGUGUAGCUUAUGGGGUGGGAAGAAAUGGGCUACAUUCUCUAUAUUAGAGUAUACGAAUGGCACUAUGAAAUUAGUACCUGAAGGUGGAUUUAGCAGUAAAAAUCAAAUAGAGAGUCAUUUUGAAGCAGGCUCUGAGACGCGC